CGCAUCCCAAGUGUUGGACAAUAGCUUGUAGCAUCUUGCUCGACCACCGUUGAAGUGCCUCCACCGUAUUGACUUUAUGCUCGACGGUAGUCAAUCGGUUCCGAGUAAUUAUCAUCUCUCGCUCCAUCUUCUUUCGGAAUCGUCGAUCGGAACGGGAGCUUGAGGCUUCGGGCUCGUCUCGGGCUUGAAGAGCGGCUUGCGGCUCGUCAU
rnacentral:lncRNA from 1 species